CCUACGGGGCGCAGCAGUGAGGAAUAUUGGUCAAUGGGCGGGAGCCUGAACCAGCCAAGUCGCGUGAGGGAAUACGGUCCUAUGGAUUGUAAACCUCUUUAGCCGGGGAGCAAUGCCGGGCACGCGUGUCCGCCCGGAGAGUACCCGCAGAAUAAGCAUCGGCUAACUCCGUGCCAGCAGCCGCGGUAAUACGGAGGAUGCGAGCGUUAUCCGGAUUUAUUGGGUUUAAAGGGUGCGUAGGCGGGCUUUUAAGUCAGCGGUAAAAAUUCCGGGCUCAACCCGGGCCGGCCGUUGAAACUGGGGGU
rnacentral:rRNA from 1 species